AAUUAAUAAAUAAAUUAUAAUGUUAAAUAUUAUACACUGCCCUUACAUUGGUAUCAUAAUAUGCUCGUUACAUCAGAUAUAUAUAAUUAUACACGAAAACAUACAAACGCAUGGUUACACAAUCAAUAUACAUACAAAUCAAAAAUAUACCUCGUUGAGCAAUAUAAAAAAUAAAAACUCAUAAUCACUCUUUUAAACUUAAAUCUAGUUUUGUCGUCGAGUUCUAUCGAUUAUUGUGUAGCUUUUUAGUUUAUGGAAUUUGGUAAAAUGGCGCACACUUUCGUAUUAAAGAAAAGUAUUUUAAUUAGUACAGUCAGCAUCAAAUAUUUGUAUCAUGCCAAAAUAAAGCGCAUGACUUGUAGAGGCGUAUACCAAGGUAACUACGAUUACCUGUUGAAAGAACAAACGUUAUAGGUACGCUAUUCGCGGAAAAAAGUUAGUAUAGCUCUGUGUUAUGUAAUCCCAUACAAAUGAUAGAGGCAAAAAUCUCAGUGAGCGCUAACCAUUUUGAGUCAGUCAUAAACCAAACUAAUUCCAUUUGAAUUUGGAAUGUUUUUGAAAACAUGUUUGUGAUUGGUUGGUGACUUAAAAUGGUGAACACCCACUGACAUUUUUGCCUCUAUCAUUUAUAUGGGAUUACGUAACACAGAGAGCACUUUACUAACUUAUUUCCGCGGAUAGAGUAUAAAAUACUUACGUUUUAUACAGUUUUGGUAUUGUAAUGUAAGUUGUAACAAAAUUCGCCAUUUAGUUUAUUUGGCGAUGCAGAAAUCAACUCUUUAAAUAGAUUACAAGUAUUAUUUAUUACGUAGCCUAUCUUAUACAGUGAUUUGAAUAUAUGAAACUGACUGCACAAAUAUUAGUUAAAAAGCGUAGGAAUGUAAGUGAGAGUUAAUUUUCAUACAUUUUGAUUUUUGGCAAUAAUUUCAAUGCAAAAAUUAAAUCAAACCAGCGUAUAGUGUAGUAACUACAUGUACGUAUUAUCUUUUUAAACAACGCAAAAUCCACACACACUCCAACGUAUAAUUAAAUUUACACUAGGUAUUUGUAUAAUUUAUUUUAUCAUUUCCAAUUAAUUAUUUAAACACAAAUAAAUUAAUGUACCAUCCACUGACCUCUGUUAAGAAUGAAUUACACAAAUUACAAGAAUUGAUUACAAAAUUAUACUACAAAAAACACUGCUUAAAGUCACAAGAAAAAGAUAAGAAUACUUUAAAAUUUAGUUGAACACAGAAUCAGUAAAAUAGAUUCUGUUUCGUGUAAAUUCUAAUUAGCACCAAUGUGUAGUAGUUUACUCGGACAUUCAGCAGUCAUUGUAUACCGUAGUAACUGAACUUACUCGGUUUCUAGCACUGUGGCGCAGAACACGAGGCUGACUGUACCUUAUAAAUUUACUGGCUUUCUUUUAUUUUUAUAACGGGAACUGAAAUCAAUUUACAGUCAGUCAAAACAAGCGAACUAUUUAUUUAUUUAGAGGUCAGUGAUCUCAUCCCAUUUAUCCGUCAGCUUUCCAACGUAGGUAUUUUUUUUUAAUUAUUUUAUGGGAAGACUGAUUUGAAUAAACGAUAUAAAUAUGUGGUGGAAACAGAAGAUGGAUGCAUUAAGCUUUGGUCACAUCAAACUCAGGGCGGCAGCGGUACGCUAAUCAAGCUGGGCUGUCGGAUUUUAAUACAAGGAUCUAAUACAAUACAACAUCGAAUGCUAACACUGUUGAAUAAGUCCCUGAAUAGAUCUUUAAAAAAUAACUCCCUUUAUUAUUUAUAAAGAAUAUUUUUUUAUAUUACCUGUUGUAAAAAAAAUUAAGAUAUAAAUUGCGCGAAAGAUCUUUAUAAUAUAACUCUCUAAAUUAUAUAAAAUUGUUUUUUUAAUUAUUGCAAAAAAAAAUUAUGAUACAAAUUGCACUGUGCUAACACAUAGGGCUCAUUUUUAAUUGCGUACGUUUUAGCAAUGUUAAAUUCUUGAAAGAAAUGCAAAAGCGAAAAAAUGUACGUGGACAAGAUUCGUGGUUUGUAAAGUCAUUAAAUUAGAUGAAGUACUAUAAUUUACUGCAAUAAAUACUUGUUAAAAGCUUUGUUUAAAUUCAACCUUAGCUCUUUGUAUUAACAAAACACAGUAACCCGCUUGCGCAACGCGCGUCUGCCGCUUCGCGUUCGUUGUGACCAAGCCUUUUGAUAUUUAGCUCUUUACCCUAUACGUCUAUUUUGUUCGUAAUAAAUCUCUAAGUUACGUGAGUUUUGCCUCGCUUUACUUUAGGUAUAUUUAAACACUAAUUACAAUAUUGAGUAUAAAAACGUAUUAAAUACAUCAAAAAGAUCUAGUAACUUACGAUCCCUCCGCUUUGAGAUAUGACUAGAAAAUUCAUUGUACAACUCCUCUGUACUCUAUCCACGGAAAUAAGUUAGUAUAGGCCUCUCUGUUACGUCCCAUACACAUGACAAAGAUCUCAGUAGGCGUUAACCAUUUUGAGUCACCAAUCGAUCGCAAACAAACUACCUACAUAUGUUUUCGAAUGAUUUUUGAAAACACUUUCGAAAAAUUUUUAUUUGUCUUUGACAUUUGUAUGGGAUUACGUAACAGAGAGAGCGCUAUACUCUCUGGAUAGAAUAUAGUGGUUAUCAGUCCCGAUAGUUGAGAAAGUGGCACUUGAAUUGUACCUCGGAGCACACCUCAAGCUUUAGUGGCCUUAAAGCUAAAUCCCAUCAAGGUUGCUAAUUGCUAUACACAUAGUCGGCUGUCGUGGCUGGGCAUAUUGUCCGUCAAAAAGGACGCUGUCCGGAUUUACCCUCUACGUGCGCAAAGAUUCAAGCCAUAUCUCAAAUGUAUCACAUAUUAUAAUUAAUUAAAGCCUCUCCCAGACAUGUGUAGAAUUCGAGUCGGAAUUUUUGUACCUAUUACCUACGAUAUAGGUAGGAUUUUUGUAAUAAAAUAUUUACGACGAUUCAAGGACGCAGAAAUAUAUCAGGGGGUUUUCUGGGAAAAAUAAAAAAAACAAUUUCAAUAAUCUAGUACGAAAUGAACGGUUAUCGGUCGGUAUUCCGUCCGAAAUUCCACACACAUAUCGGUGAGCAUAAAUAAUAAUCAGAGGAUGUUCCCCUAUCAAAAUAAAAAAUGUACAAAAAAAUAUUUUCAUCUGUAAAUGCUUGCCCGUGUAAUGCGCGUAUCACAAAAUAAGUGUGGAUUGACCCCCCCUACUACUAUUGUACAGUGUUCGACCUUAACACUAUUUCGCAUACAAAUAUCCCCCGUUGGGUUGCCACUUCCAAAAAAGCUAUAGUUAUUCGAUAUGCAAUAUUACAAAAUGGUACCAAAAAAAAAAGUAACGCUCAGUAAAAUAAAAUUAGUUUUUUUAAAGAUAUGGGAUUCUCGGAAAAGGAUAGAAAUAAUAACGUUUUUUUUUAUAAACUCUCUGAUAAUAUGAAUUAGCAAAUAAAAAAAAUAUCAAAGCUCAAUAUUUAAGCUACUUGGCGCUAUCCAUUCCAAAGAAAGUUUCCGAAAAGAAGGUAAAAACAAAACCGGAAUGGCCAUGCAAUAAAGAGAUAAACAUCAAAUGAAAGUGACAGCCCUAAUUACAAUAAUGGCAAUUGCGCUGAAAAGUAGCCCUUGUAGAAAAAUAAAUUGUCCCAUUUUGAUAAUACUAGCCUUACGGGGUCAGUCGCUAUGUGGAUUAUUUUAUUUUUGGACGAGUCCCUAAUUUGAGACAUCACAAUUUUCGGAAUCACGAAAAUCACUCGUCCUAGCACUGUUGCUAGGACAUUGGACAAGAAGCAGAAUCAUCAGUCAACACAACCGGAAUGGACUAAGAGCUGGGGGACUAUUUACUCAAAUGAUUUCAAAGCAUAUCCAACUUUACAUUGAUCUUAUAGUCUACAGACAAAUAAACGACGACGUAACAAAGUAACCCUGAACUUCAUAGAUAUAUUUUACCAUUUAUUUUUCUAAUAGCCAGUUGCAAAAUUAUGUUUUGUUUGUCAAAAUAAAUUAAUACUAAGACCGAUAAAAACACUGAAAGAUAUUGCAUUUCCCAGCUCUUGGCCACAGAAUAAUAACUCAAAAAUCAUUAUAAUUUAAAAAGAAUAACAAAAUACUGUGUUUUUAAGUCAUUACGGAUUCGUAUAUAAAGUAAUAAGUAUAAACUCAUAAAAAUGGCGAGAAUAAUAAAUAAUCUAAUAUAAAAUAGGGAUAACAAAUAAAAACAACACAAAAGCUGCCGCGGUUAAUGGUCAUACUACAGCCACUAUCCACUUAGGCUGAGAUCUUGGGACAAAGUUAAAACGAGAUAGAUUUAUCUGAGAAAUAACUCUGUCUCGUUUAAACUUAAGUCUGAGCAAAGUCAAAGUGUCAAAUCUCAGCCAGAGACCUAUAGAGCACAGUUUGAUUUUGCUCACAGUUUAUUUGGAAUAAAACAAGUCAGAUUUUAACUGCAAUGUUUCAAGUCUGAAAGUCACUCUAUAGAUCUCAGACUUAGCGCCGCUUCAUUGACGCUUAUUCCUUUUUGCACGCUUACUGAAAGCUUACAUGCUGCUUUCAUAAAAAAUUCCAUAUAACUAAAAUCAGUUAUAGGUACUCAAGUCGAAACUGUAAACUGAAUCAAAUUGACAAGUCAAAACUUUAAAUGCAGUGCUUUAUAUAUACUAUACUAUAGGUACUUUUUUACAAUGUUCUCAAACGAAAAGGCUAGCAUUAUUUUAAGAACUGUCAAUUUAGUUUGAUAUCUAAAAAUUCGAUAUGGAAGCAACAGCAAGCGCACAGCAUAUAGUGACGAUUACGCGUAAGUGAAGCGACGCUAUGUGUCCAGUGGCGUUAUUUUACAAUAAUUAUGUCUAAAAUAAACGAAAUAAUUGAACAUGUUGGAAGAAUACGAAUCUUAAUUUAAUGUUAUAAAACAAUUCACCUAAGAUUUUGACACAUGAACGAUUGCAAAAAUAACUGUUUUAAAAAUGUAUGCAAUAAAAAUUUAGCAAAUAACUUUUACACCAGCUCCUACACUAUAAGAACGGUAUUUUUGUUUUGGAAUUCAUUGGUAUACUGUAAAAUCGAUCAUGUGUGGUUGUAUUUA